rnacentral:rRNA from 1 species
CCGUAGGGUGAACCUGCGGAAGGAUCAUUACCUUUCAAUGCAGAAGAGUUGAGAUGGUUGAGUAUCUCGCCUCUCAAUUCUCGCUGUAUUUUACCCUUGUUUUUCUCAUACUAUUAUUUCCUCGGCAGGCUCGCCUGCCGGGUGAAACAACUUCAAACCUGUUUAAUUUUCAAUCAGCGUCUGAACAAAUUAAUAAUUACAACUUUCAACAACGGAUCUCUUGGUUCUGGCAUCGAUGAAGAACGCAGCGAAAUGCGAUAAGUAGUGUGAAUUGCAGAAUUCAGUGAAUCAUCGAAUCUUUGAACGCACAUUGCGCCCCUUGGUAUUCCAUGGGGCAUGCCUGUUCGAGCGUCAUUUGUACCUUCAAGCUCUGCUUGGUGUUGGGUGUUUGUCCUUGCUCUAGUGGCGGGACUCGCCUCAAAGUAAUUGGCAGCCAGUGUUUUGGUUUUGAAGCGCAGCACAAGUCGCGAUUCAAGUCUAUACGCUAGUUUCCACAAGUCUUUUAUCACUUUUGACCUCGGAUCAGGUAGGGAUACCCGCUGAACUUAAGCAUAUCAAUAAGCCGGAG